GAUGAAGAACGCAGCGAAAUGCGAUAAGUAAUGUGAAUUGCAGAAUUCCGUGAAUCAUCGAAUCUUUGAACGCUCAUUGCGCCCCCUGGUAUUCCGGGGGGCAUGCCUGUCCGAGCGUCAUUGCAACCCUCAAGCGCGGCUUGUGUGUUGGGCUUCGUCCCCCCGUGGACGUGCCCGAAAGGCAGUGGCGGCGUCCCGAAUGGUGCCCGAGCGUAUGGGAACUCUCUUCCGCUCGAACCGGCCCAUUCGGCGCUGGUCGAACCCCAAUUUUUUUUACCGGUUGACCUCGGAUCAGGUAGGGAUACCCGCUGAACUUAAGCAUAUCAAUAAGCGGAGGA
rnacentral:misc_RNA from 1 species